AUAGUUUAUUCUGUGACAUAGUCACAAAGGAUAGCGGUCACUAAAUGGAACGUUAGAUAAGACUAUUGGAAACAAAUCCAAUAUAAUAGCCGUGCUCAAUUUUUGUAUUUAUUAUUGAAUUUUGUAUCAUGAAUUAUGUAUAUAUUAAGCUGUAGAAAAUAGUUUGGAAAUUGGGUUUCAUAUCACAAUAAAAACCCAUAACACUCUCAAAUACACCAAUUGUUAACAAUUUAAGAAAAAUGCAAAAUAUUCGAAAUGAUUAACAUUUGUGGUAAGCAUUCAUAAUUGAAGUAAAAUUCAUAACUCAAAGCAUACAUAAUGGUGCUUAAUAUUGAAUUUUGUAUCUUUAAAACAAGUAUAAGCCAUCCACUUUUGAUAUAGUUCUGGAUAGAUUUCUUCCGAAAAAUAAUUGGAUCACAUUAAGUGUAACAUAUAUUUAGAAAAAGAAGAUGACUACCGCAUCAACUAACUUUCUUAUAUUUCCAUGGAAACUCAAUUUAGGUAAAUUAAUUGUUGAUUUGUAUACAUAGAAUUAUUUGUUGAUAUAUUUAUACAUUUUUAUUUUUACAUUUAUAACAUAUAUGUGAUUGUUGUUAUAUAAGAAAGAAGAUGUGGUGUGAUUGCCAAUAAGACAAACUAUCCACAAAAGACCAAAAUGACACAGACAUUAACGUCUGGUUUACACCUUGUGCUAGCUGAUGGACUUUUGUGAAGAAUCUGCAGGCUUAGAAGGUGUCUGUCAACGCCUUAUAUUUUGAUUGAUGGGUGUCAAAUUAAAGUUACCAGUACGAAUUUCAAAUAACAGUGAUACUUCAAUAGGAAUCACUGACUAAUGACGGUAAUCCCUAUAAGUCAAUGAUAAACAUACAGUUCUGACUAUAUUGACUAUUUCGGAAAUAUUACUGAUUUUUAAAGUCUGAAAACUAUUUUCAGAUUUAAACUGUAACAGAUUUGUGAUUUGUCUAUUCUUUACUGUAAAAGAAAUGUGAAGAAAAAAACAUUCCAUAAAGAAUUGAAUUAUUCCAAUAAAUUGCCUAAAUUAUAUAUUUAUAUAUUUUUGUACUUCUUAGACAUUUAAGAUGAUUUGUUAAGGAUUUAAUUCCUGUUUCAUAGUUUGUAAAUAAAUUUAUAUACUUGAUAAAAGGGAGGGUCUGUCUAUUUAAUCAAUGUUAUUAACUAGUUUUUGUUUUAAAAUCUUACCGAUGUGAUCUAGUUUAAUAAAGUGAAAAUUGUAAAGUUUGCUGAAUGAUAAGAUGCGUAAUGGUUACUUAUCAUAUACAAAAAAAUCCUCAAAAUUAUACAAGUUUUAAGGGUAAAUAUUGCUUUUAUGUCUCAAUUUACUUUAUUUCGCCGGUGUAACGUUAUAGUAUUUAGCCAAUAUUUAUAAACAAAUUGUUUAACUUACUUUAAUUCCGUUUCACCAUGUCUCAGAUAUUUGUGAUGGUAUAUUAAUGCUAAAUGCAAGAACGGUUGUACACUAGUCAUGAUACCUUCUAAAGGUAAUUACCAUUAAAGGGAAACUUGAUGAGCAACAGUUCCUUCAGUAAUGAUUACCAGUCUUACGUUUAUGUUAGAAAAAAUGGCAAUAAAACAAUCAUGUAUGCUGAUCUCUUAUUCAAUACCAAUAUCUCAAUGGUAUUUUUAAACGGGAUGUAAGGUAAAAAAUUAAGUGAUUUAUUUUGUCUCAACAUUUUUUAUAAAGUAUUUGAUCUGAAUUGUCGUACAAUUUAUUUAAAGUUAAUGUCUCACCUGAUGUAAAUGUAGUUGGUAGAAUUUUAAACGGUAGAUCCAGGUUAAAAUCUUUAAAAUCAGUAACACGUUUUAAAAGCCAGUUCCUGUCUUUGCUUUCAACAUUUCCGGUAAAACAAUCUAGGUUACUGAGAAGUUUGGAAUAAAAAUGACAAAGUGACCUUGACCUGGGUCGACCCUUAAAUUCUUACUUAAAUUAGUCAAUCAAUUUUUUUUAUUGAAUAAUCAAAAUAACUAAUUUGUAUUAAACUGCUAAAUGCUCAACGCCAAAAUGUGUAUUUGAUAACUGUAUUAAUUUUUCUGUAAUGAGGUAUUAAUUUUAAAAAAUAGGUCAAUGACAAUUUACUUAGACUUUAUUUUAUUGUCAUAAUCAGUUUACUAACUUGAAGGAAUUUUUCGUUUAUAUAUUUUUAUUGUAAUAUGCUAGGAAAAAUGUAUAUUAAGAGAAAAAAUAUAUCACUUCCCAUAUUUGUCGCUGGUAGAAUAACUGUUCAUUAUUUAUAUUAUGGUAGUUUAAAUUUACAUUAAUAUAUGCAUAUAUAUUAUAUGUGUGUGUAUCUAUGCAAUAUAAUUGAUAAAAUACGAUAUUAUUAGUGAUGUGUGUAUGUAUGUGUAUGAAUAUAGUCAUGAAAAUAUGCAUUAAUCAGUAAGACAUUAAAACAAGAUAAUAUAAAACUGCGGAUUUAUAAACCAGUCCCUUCUCGUGAAGAGACACACAGACAUUAUAUAGGAGUUCGGGAUUGGUUCUUGGUGUUUAUGUUUAUUCAUAAUUCAUAUUUGUAGGUAUUUAAUAUUUAUAUGGACUUUACAAUCCAAUUAGGCAAAAAGUGUUUCAAGUCAACCACUUAAACCUGAAGUUCUGCCGUAGUCGAAAGGACUGAUUCUCCGUAAUGAGAAGAGACUCCUGAAAUUUUAGAUAUCACGUUUUAUUUUCAACAUUAAUUCAAUUAAAAUAUUACGUGAUUUUUGUUACGCCCAUUAUUAAACAAAUUAAUGUCAUGGUGAUUACUUUACGUACUAAAGAGUUACCGUUCGUGACAAAAAAAAAUCUCCUAAUACCAGACUAUAGUUCACACUAAAGGUCCUAAAUGCAGUUUUUUCUUUGAAAUAAGAUUGAAUGUCAUAUUAUUUUGAUUGAUAUCAUAUUUACCAUCUAACCAUUAUCAUGGGCAAUAACUCGUUAAAAGGAACGAUAACUCAUUUCAUUUGUAACAUUGUCACGUGAUGAAGUGUGAUGAACAUGCUUAUGUUUUCUAGACUCGGAUGAUAUAUUGUAUAUGUGUGUAUAUGUAUCUGAUAUGUGUAAAUGCAUGUAUAUUAAUGGUGUAUUUGAUAUGUAUAAAUGUAGUUAAGGAGUGUAAGAUUAUAUAUUGAAUAUACAUUUUUACAAAAUUGAUUUUUGCUUUUUCAUUAAAAUCACUAUGCAGACUGAAGCUACAUUGAUAUGUUGCAAUGUCGUUCCUCUUUUUCUUGUUUAGAAUCAAUGUCACUGAAUCCAGUAUUAACUUAUCAUGGAAAACACGAAGUGUACCUCUUGCUGAACAGAGGAAAUUUCUGUUUCGGUGCUACCCAUUGUGUUUAAUU
rnacentral:lncRNA from 1 species